rnacentral:rRNA from 1 species
UCUCAUAUAGCGUAUAUUAAAGUUGUUGCAGUUAAAAAGCUCGUAUGUUGAACCUUGGGCCUGGCUGGCCGGUCCGCCUCACCGCGAGUACUGGUCCGGCUGGGCCUUUCCUUCUGGGGAACCUCAUGGCCUUCACUGGCUGUGGGGGGAACCAGGACUUUUACUGUGAAAAAAUUAGAGUGUUCAAAGCAGGCCUUUGCUCGAAUACAUUAGCAUGGAAUAAUAGAAUAGGACGUGCGGUUCUAUUUUGUUGGUUUCUAGGACCGCCGUAAUGAUUAAUAGGGAUAGUCGGGGGCGUCAGUAUUCAGCUGUCAGAGGUGAAAUUCUUGGAUUUGCUGAAGACUAACUACUGCGAAAGCAUUCGCCAAGGAUGUUUUCAUUAAUCAGGGAACGAAAGUUAGGGGAUCGAAGACGAUCAGAUACCGUCGUAGUCUUAACCAUAAACUAUGCCGACUAGGGAUCGGACGGGAUUCUAUGAUGACCCGUUCGGCACCUUACGAGAAAUCAAAGUUUUUGGGUUCUGGGGGGAGUAUGGUCGCAAGGC